rnacentral:rRNA from 1 species
GACGAACGCUGGCGGCGUGCUUAACACAUGCAAGUCGAGCGGAAAGGCCCUGAUUUUGUGGGGUUCUCGAGAGGCGAACACGGGAGUAACACGUGAGUAACCUGUCCUUGUCUUUCGGGUAACUCCAGGAAACUCGGGCUAAUACCGGGUAUGAGCUCCUGCUGCACGGUGGGCGUUGGAAAGUUUCGGCGUUUGGGGAUUGGCUCGAGGCUUAUCAGCUUGUUGGUGGGGUAGUGGCUUACCAAGGCUUUGACGGGUAGCCGGCCUGAGAGGGUGACCGGCCACACUGGGACUGAGGGACGGCCCAGACUCGUACGGGAGGCAGCAGUGGGGAAUAUUGCACAAUGGGCGGAAGCCUGGUGCAGCAACGCCGCGGGCGGGAUGACGGCCUUCGGGUUGUAAACCGCUUUCGCCUGUGUCGAAGCGUGAGUGACGGUAAUGGGUAAAGAAGCACCGGCUAACUACGUU